rnacentral:snRNA from 1 species
AAAGGUGUCCCUGCUUUUUGGCUCAGAUCAAGUGCAAUGUCUGUUCCUAUCAGUUUAAUAUCUGAUGUGUCCUCUAUCCAAAGAAAUAACAACAA